rnacentral:piRNA from 1 species
GAGGCCGAAUCUAGGUCAUUCAGGACAUC